UGAUUAUUUUGUGACUGAGUGGCGGACGGGUGAGUAACGCGUGGGUAACCUGCCUUGUACAGGGGGAUAACAGUUGGAAACGACUGCUAAUACCGCAUAAGCCCACAGCUCGGCAUCGAGCAGAGGGAAAAGGAGCAAUCCGCUUUGAGAUGGCCUCGCGUCUGAUUAGCUGGUUGGUGAGGUAACGGCUCACCAAGGCGACGAUCAGUAGCCGGUCUGAGAGGAUGAACGGCCACAUUGGGACUGAGACACGGCCCAAACUCC
rnacentral:rRNA from 1 species